rnacentral:tRNA from 1 species
CGCGCCCUGGGGCAUGGAGAAGCCCGGGGGCGCCUUCUGGGUGGCCUCCUUCGGCGCCGCGCGCCGGACGGGGGCCUUCUUCUUGGCCUGGGCCUUC